CACUGUGAAACGCUGAGUCUUUUCUGAAAGAGAAGGAAAGAGCGGAGGACCCAAUUAUCAGGGGUGUAUCUCUUAAUUGAGUAGGGUUACUUUCUUGACCCGAACCCGUCAGCUAACUUCGUAAGCGUUAAGAGAGAGGAUGG
rnacentral:sRNA from 3 species